CUCUCCCAGACCCUUAAAACAGCUAAGUUUGCUAUUUUAACUUCCUAGUGGGCCAGGAUACAAAGUAUGGGGGCAUUCAAAUGCUAGAAAAGCAAAACAAAAUCAGGAGGUGGGUGAGGGUGGAGAGGGGAAUGCAGUCAAGAUUCCUUCAUGACUCAUAUUUCUCUAUUGAAAACUAAGGUUUCUGGUCACAUUAGGGUAGAGAAAUUGAUAGCAGCUGCAGAUGGGAAAGUUUGAACACGUAUCUCCCUAGGCAGUAUUUUCCCUGGUGUUUUCUGUGCCUGCGCUAUGUUGUAAAGUAUUGUAGAUUGCAGUUUUAUGGUUAGCUGAAGCUUCUUCAGUUAGGUAGAAGAACCAAAACCAUUUAAUCCUUUUUCUUCAGAACACUCACCAUGUUUUAUGCUCUUUCUUCAUUUGUUGCAGUGCUGGUGUGACAUCUGCCUGUCCUCACUCAGCAUCAGUGAUGUUGUGCAUGGCGUGGAAAGGACAGAAAACCCGUGGAGUUUUGGCCAAGCAAAAGGAAGUUUCUCAGCUGCUGUGCAGCCAGGAUCAGCCGAAUAAUUCUGGAGUGUGAAACGUAGUCUACUGAGAGAAUGGCAAAGGCAUGGAGCAGUUCACUGAUGCCACGGUAGAUCCAUAAGGAGAACAGAGAUGUCAGAGAGGGAGACUUUGGGGUUGAGUGCUGAGCAGCGUCCCCUCUGUGCCUCUCCCUGCCUGGAUAUACAGACGGAAAUCACCGCAGGCAUUUGACUGCUUCAUGUAGCCCCGGAAAGGAUACUGUGGGUCAUCUCAGAGCCAAAACUAGAAACAAGCACCUUUGAAAAAUAGCCCAGUGAAUGUGAAAGAAGCAUUUCUGCAGAGGGAGCUGCCAGCAAGACUUGUUCCUUUGCCAGAAGGGGUGCUGGGCGAAAGCCUCUAUCCCUCAUUAAAUCAAUAAAAUCAAG
rnacentral:lncRNA from 1 species